rnacentral:rRNA from 1 species
AUGAACGCUGGCGGUCUGCUUAACACAUGCAAGUCGAACGGAAUCCUUAGGGAUUUAGUGGCGGACGGGUGAGUAACACGUAAGAACCUGCCUCUAGGACGGGGACAACAGUUGGAAACGACUGCUAAACCCGGAUGAGCCGAAAGGUAAAAGAUUAAUCGCCUAGAGAGGGGCUUGCGUCUGAUUAGCUAGUUGGUGAGGUAAGAGCCCACCAAGGCGACGAUCAGUAGCUGGUCUGAGAGGAUGAUCAGCCACACUGGGACUGAGACACGGCCCAGACUCCUACGGGAGGCAGCAGUGGGGAAUUUUCCGCAAUGGGCGAAAGCCUGACGGAGCAAGACCGCGUGGGGGAGGAAGGUUCUUGGAUUGUCAACCCCUUUUCUCAGGGAAGAACACAAUGACGGUACCUGAGGAAAAAGCAUCG